rnacentral:rRNA from 1 species
UGGGGAAUUUUGCACAAUGGGGGAAACCCUGAUGCAGCGACGCCGCGUGAUUUAGAAGGCCUUCGGGUUGUAAAAAUCUUUUCUAUGGGAAGAAAAUGACAGUACCAUAGGAAUAAGGACCGGCUAAUUACGUGCCAGCAGCCGCGGUAAUACGUAAGGUCCGAGCGUUGUCCGGAAUCAUUGGGCGUAAAGGGUACGUAGGCGGGUAAGCAAGUUAGAAGUGAAAUCCUGUAGCUCAACUACAGUAAGCUUUUAAAACUGCUCAUCUUGAGAUAUGGAAGGGAAAGUGGAAUUCCUAGUGUAGCGGUGAAAUGCGCAGAUAUUAGGAGGAAUACCGGUGGCGAAGGCGACUUUCUGGCCAUAAUCUGACGCUGAGGUGCGAAAGCGUGGGGAUCAAACAGG